rnacentral:rRNA from 1 species
GAGUUUGAUCCUGGCUCAGAUUGAACGCUGGCGGAAUGCUUUACACAUGCAAGUCGAGCGGCAGCGCGGGGCAACCUGGCGGCGAGCGGCGAACGGGUGAGUAAUGCAUCGGAACAUGUCCAUGUCGUGGGGGAUAGCCCGGCGAAAGCCGGAUUAAUACCGCAUACGCCCGAGAGGGGAAAGUGGGGGACCGCAAGGCCUCACGCGAUUGGGUUGGCCGAUGUCCGAUUAGCUAGUUGGCGGGGUAAUGGCCCACCAAGGCGAUGAUCGGUAGCUGGUCUGAGAGGAUGAUCAGCCACACUGGGACUGAGACACGGCCCAGACUCCUACGGGAGGCAGCAGUGGGGAAUUUUGGACAAUGGGGGCAACCCUGAUCCAGCCAUUCCGCGUGAGUGAAGAAGGCCUUCGGUUGUAAG